GACGAACGCUGGCGGCGUGCUUAACACAUGCAAGUCGAACGGAAAGGCCCUGCUUUUGUGGGGUGCUCGAGUGGCGAACGGGUGAGUAACACGUGAGUAACCUGCCCUUGACUUUGGGAUAACUUCAGGAAACUGGGGCUAAUACCGGAUAGGAGCUCCUGCUGCAUGGUGGGGGUUGGAAAGUUUCGGCGGUUGGGGAUGGACUCGCGGCUUAUCAGCUUGUUGGUGGGGUAGUGGCUUACCAAGGCUUUGACGGGUAGCCGGCCUGAGAGGGUGACCGGCCACAUUGGGACUGAGAUACGGCCCAGACUGCUACGGGAGGCAGCAGUGGGGAAUAUUGCACAAAGGGCGGAAGCCUGAUGCAGCAACGCCGCGUGCGGGAUGACGGCCUUCGGGUUGUAAACCGCUUUCGCCUGUGACGAAGCGUGAGUGACGGUAAUGGGUAAAGAAGCACCGGCUAACUACGUG
rnacentral:rRNA from 1 species